rnacentral:rRNA from 1 species
UACGUAGGGGGCAAGCGUUGUCCGGAUUUAUUGGGCGUAAAGAGCGUGUAGGCGGUCAGGUAGGUCCGUUGUGAAAACUCGAGGCUCAACCUCGAGACGCCGAUGGAAACCAUCUGACUAGAGUCCGGAAGAGGAGAGUGGAAUUCCUGGUGUAGCGGUGAAAUGCGCAGAUAUCAGGAAGAACACCCGUGGCGAAAGCGGCUUCCUGGUCCAGCACCGACGUUCAGGCACGAAAGCGUGGGGAGCAAACAGG